UAAGUAAGAAAAACAGGUGGUACAGUAUUCUAGUCAAAAUCGCUCCUCUGAAGGCGGGGCUAAAAAUCCGUCAAGGGCAUAUCGAUGAAGUUCUUAGUGCUGGCUGCCGACGCCCAGUUGGGGGCUGGUGCUGGGAGUAAGGAGGAUGGGGCGAUCUGCAAAGGCAUGUAGGCGUUGACCCUACCUCCGCGGAGACCUAAGUGCGUGGUUUGAGAGAGAUUCUCAAUUACUAUGGCUUAGGGUGUGAACCUGCAUUCGAUAAAAUGUUGGGUGCAGUGUAGCCUGCCUUGAGUGAGAUGGGCGGAAAAAGGCUUAUCGGUUGAUUUGUAAUUUGGCCAAAUUGCAAAUCAAUUUUUUACCUUUGAAAUCCAUCUUGCAAAAGAGGCUAGGAGGAGAGUGAUUUUGGUGAGGAAAUCUCCUAGACUGUCCUUUUGGGAAAUGGACUGGGGAUUACAGUGUGGACUAAGUGGUAAUCUAGCCCUGUUUAUGGUGACAUAGCAGUAGCAGACUUAAAGGGGAACCGUCUUUUCGGCAACGAUUAGAUGUCUGCUGGGGAAAUCCUGCUAGACCUAAGCCACAAAAUUUACCCUGUCCAUUACCGCCUGUUCUUGUUAAAAA
rnacentral:sRNA from 1 species